rnacentral:rRNA from 1 species
ACGCGAUAGGUGAGUAACACGUGGGUAACCUGCCUGUAAGACUGGGGAUAACUCCGGGAAACCGGAGCUAAUACCGGAUAGUUCCUUGAACCGCAUGGUUCAAGGAUGAAAGACGGUUUCGGCUGUCACUUACAGAUGGACCCGCGGCGCAUUAGCUAGUUGGUGAGGUAACGGCUCACCAAGGCGACGAUGCGUAGCCGACCUGAGAGGGUGAUCGGCCACACUGGGACUGAGACACGGCCCACACUCCUACGGGAGGCAGCAGUAGGGAAUCUUCCGCAAUGGACGAAGGGCUGACGGAGCAACGCCGCGUGAGUGAUGAAGGUUUUCGGAUCGUAAAGCUCUGUUGUUAGGGAAGAACAAGUGCAAGAGUAACUGCUUGCACCUUGACGGUACCUAACCAGAAAGCCACGGCUAACUACGUGCCAGCAGCCGCGGUAAUACCUAGGUGGCAAGCGUUGUCCGGAAUUAUUGGGCGUAAAGGGCUCGCACGCGGUUUCUUAAGUCUGAUGUGAAAGCCCCCGGCUCAACCGGGGAGGGUCAUUGGAAACUGGGAAACUUGAGUGCAGAAGAGGAGAGUGGAAUUCCACGUGUAGCGGUGAAAUGCGUAGAGAUGUGCAGGAACACCAGUGGCGAAAGGC